rnacentral:rRNA from 1 species
GACGAACGCUGGCGGCGUGCUUAACACAUGCAAGUCGAACGGAAAGGCCCUGCUUUUGUGGGGUGCUCGAGUGGCGAACGGGUGAGUAACACGUGAGUAACCUGCCCUUGACUUUGGGAUAACUUCAGGAAACUGGGGCUAAUACCGGAUAGGAGCUCCUGCUGCAUGGUGGGGGUUGGAAAGUUUCGGCGGUUGGGGAUGGACUCGCGGCUAUCAGCUUGUUGGUGGGGUAGUGGCUUACCAAGGCUUUGACGGGUAGCCGGCCUGAGAGGGUGACCGGCCACAUUGGGACUGAGAUACGGCCCAGACUCCUACGGGAGGCAGCAGUGGGGAAUAUUGCACAAUGGGCGGAAGCCUGAUGCAGUAACGCCGCGUGCGGGAUGACGGCCUUCGGGUUGUAAACCGCUUUCGCCUGUGACGAAGCGUGAGUGACGGUAAUGGGUAAAGAAGCACCGGCUAACUACGUG